AAUGGAACCUGCAGUCGUCCCCCCGGGUGGGCAAAUGCAGAGCUGUCUUUUGUCCCCCAAUUGCAGUGGUCCUACAGAAACACGGAGGUCUCUGUCGGACUUACAGCAGCUGCUGAGCCCGAUCGUUCCCCUCCACACAGG
rnacentral:snoRNA from 10 species